rnacentral:rRNA from 1 species
UGUAGUACUGGUGUAAGCGUGUAGGGAGUGGCAUAGGCAAAUCCGUGCCACACAUAUCCUGAGACGUGAUGCGUAGCCGAUUGAGGCGAAUUCAGUGAUCCUAUGCUGCCGAGAAAAGCCUCUAGCGAGUUGGUACACGGCCCGUACCCCAAACCGACACAGGUGGUCAGGUAGAGAAUACUAAGGCGAUCGAGAGAACUGUGGUUAAGGAACUCGGCAAAAUGCCCCCGUAACUUCGGGAGAAGGGGGACCAUGCCCGGUGACGGAAUUUACUUCCCGAGCUGGGGGUGGUCGCAGAGACCAGAGAGAAGCGACUGUUUACUAAAAACACAGGUCCGUGCGAAGUCGUAAGACGAUGUAUACGGACUGACGCCUGCCCGGUGCCGGAAGGUUAAGAGGACCGGUCAGCCCAGUAAUGGGCGAAGCUGAGAAUUUAAGCCCCGGUAAACGGCGGUGGUAACUAUAACCAUCCUAAGGUAGCGAAAUUCCUUGUCGGGUAAGUUCCGACCUGCACGAAUGGCGUAACGACUUCUCUGCUGUCUCAACCACAGACUCGGCGAAAUUGCAUUACGAGUAAAGAUGCUCGUUACGCGCGGCAGGACGAAAAGACCCCGGGACCUUCACUAUAGCUUGGUAUUGGUGUUCGGUACGGUUUGUGUAGGAUAGGUGGGAGACUGUGAAACCCGCACGCCAGUGUGGGUGGAGUCAACGUUGAAAUACCACUCUGAUCGUAUUGGAUAUCUAACCUCGGACCAUGAUCUGGUUCAGGGACAGUGCCUGGUGGGUAGUUUAACUGGGGCGGUUGCCUCCCAAAAUGUAACGGAGGCGCCCAAAGGUUCCCUCAGCCUGGUUGGCAAUCAGGUGUCGAGUGCAAGUGCACAAGGGAGCUUGACUGUGAGACUGACAGGUCGAGCAGGGACGAAAGUCGGGACUAGUGAUCCGGCACCGGCAAGUGGAAGCGGUGUCGCUCAACGGAUAAAAGGUACCCCGGGGAUAACAGGCUGAUCUUCCCCAAGAGUCCAUAUCGACGGGAUGGUUUGGCACCUCGAUGUCGGCUCGUCGCAUCCUGGGGCUGGAGUAGGUCCCAAGGGUUGGGCUGUUCGCCCAUUAAAGCGGCACGCGAGCUGGGUUUAGAACGUCGUGAGACAGUUCGGUCUCUAUCCGCCGCGCGCGUCAGAAACUUGAGGAAGGCUGUCCCUAGUACGAGAGGACCGGGACGGACGAACCUCUGGUGUGCCAGUUGUUCCACCAGGAGCACGGCUGGUUGGCUACGUUCGGAAGGGAUAACCGCUGAAAGCAUCUAAGCGGGAAGCCUGUUCCAAGAUGAAGUUUCUCACCAC